rnacentral:rRNA from 1 species
CCUACGGGAGGCAGCAGUGGGGAAUAUUGGGCAAUGGACGCAAGUCUGACCCAGCAACGCCGCGUGAAGGAAGAAGGCCUUCGGGUUGUUAACCUUCUUUUAGGGGGAAGUGAAGUAGACGGUAUCUCCUGUUUAAGCUAUGGCUAAUUACGUGACAGCAGCUGCGGCAAUACGUAGGUCGCAAGUGUUGCCCGGAUUUACUGGGUGUAAAGGGAGUGUAGGCGGGUUGACAAGUGUGAUGUGAAAUUCACGGGAUCAACCGGAGAAUUGCAUUUGAAACUGUAUGCCGUGAGUAUAGUAGAGGUAGGCGGAAUUCGUGGUGUAGCGGUGAAAUGCUUAGAUAUAACGAAGAACACCGAUUGCGAAGGCAGAUUACUGGACGGUAACUGACGGUGAUGCGCGAAAGCGUGGGGAGCAAACAGGAUUAGAUACCCCAGUAGUC